GACGUAGGGUGCGAGCGUUGUCCGGAUUUAUUGGGCGUAAAGAGCUCGUAGGCGGUCUGUCGCGUCUGCUGUGAAAACUCAGGGCUUAACCCUGAGCUUGCAGUGGGUACGGGCAGACUAGAGUGCGGUAGGGGAGACUGGAAUUCCUGGUGUAGCGGUGAAAUGCGCAGAUAUCAGGAGGAACACCGGUGGCGAAGGCGGGUCUCUGGGCCGUAACUGACGCUGAGGAGCGAAAGCAUGGGGAGCGAACAGG
rnacentral:rRNA from 1 species